GUUGUGUGAUGCUCCGCUGGUGGUUCAACUUGUGUCAUCGUCAUUUAUCAUCGACCGCUGCUGGCUCGCGUCGUGGUGAGCAGAUCCGUCUAAGCCUCCUGAGCAAACCAGCGGCUCGAAUCAGCUUCAUAAACAAACGAAGCAAUAUCUCAGCCUGGAGUGAUUCAGAUCGCCUUCUCCUUCAGG